rnacentral:lncRNA from 1 species
ACAAAGUGUUAUACCACAUGUCAUUAUAUAAAGAGAAAUUUUUUAUAUUUUAAGUCUGUCUCCACUUAUAUAAUAUGUGUUGUACCAUCCGAAUUCCGGAUCAGUAAAAGAUCUCUCCAAAAAUACAUAUGCAUGUUUUAUUCAAAAGGUUAGGAAUGAUGCGUCAUCAUCCCUAACGCACUUUAUUAUAAGUAGUAUCAUCCAUUGAGGCAGAGAAGUUAAUUAGAUGCUGUCCUUAAUGGAUGCACUAUAGCCGUUGACAAUGUCAUACUGCCUGCCCCAGAGCAUAAUUCCUCCGUACUUGGGCGAUUUCUUAAUCGUUGGAAGAACUUGUGACUUGAGAGCGUCAGCAGGAAUAAAUCCGCCGCCCGGAGCGGCCUCAGGAGCUGCCGGUAUACCCAAGAACACCUGGGUGGCCGGAACCGAGGCCCAUUGGUUCCAACUGCUCAAAAGAGCGUCGGCAUUACCGUCUGCAUACUGGCAUGGGGGGUUGUUGUAGAACUGAACCCAAACGUAGUCAAAUAAACCGGUUUGGAUAGCGCCGUCUAGGUGAGCAUCCGGGAUCGGACAUUGUGGAGCUGCGGCUAAAUAGACCGUUUUUGCCUGUCCGUUGUGUCCGUUGAGUGACCUGGCGAGCUCAUCAUAGAACUGCGCACCACCCGCCUCAAUGUCGAAAUCAACGCCGUCCAAAACCGCGUCCCCAAGCGGGCGCGAAGCGGACUGACCACCUAAGAAGUUGUUCCAGAUGUAAUCAGCAACUUGCCUUGCAUCAUCAGCUGAAGUGAGAGAGUAACUUCCGGCGGCCCCUCCAAUCGAGAGGAGGACUUUUAUGUUUUUUGAUUGGCAGGUUCUGAUGUCGGCACUCAGCCCCGUGCAAGUACCACUAGAGGGGUCGCAGUGGCCGGCGAGGUUUAGGACAGGGGUUUGGUUGUUUCCGAAAGUAGUGAGGAAAGCUAUGUUAACAAACUGGUAGUUGCCUGAGUUGCAAGCAUCUGCUAGGGUUCCUUCAUUGCCGUUUUGGCCCCAAUACGUCGCGAUUCCGGCGGCUUGGGAGGACUUGCAUGAAGAAAUGAGGAUCAAGAGGGACAGCGUUAGGGCUAGGGUUUGUGUUUUGGAUGCCAUUUUUGUAUGUUUUUUUGGGUUGUUGUUCAAAGUGCUUGGGAGUGGACUUGUACUUAUAGGUGCAGGGGACUUAUCCGUUAAGGUUUAGGGGAAGAAAAGUAUGACAGACGUGUUCUGCGGGUUAGAAAUGGGUGCCAGUCUUCAGCUUGGAACCUCGUCAAUCAAGUUAGCUAGGGCCUGUUUAGUCCAAGAAGUUUCACAUAAAACGCCGAUUAAGUUAGGUCGGGUUGGAAAUGCUUUCUUCAAAAACUACUUACACACGUAAGCGCUUCUUAUAUUUUUCAUAAGAAUGCAAGUGCUUUUGAAAAAAAACACUUGAGCUGUUUCGUGUGUUUUUUUCAGAAAAUACUUUAAAUGUUUUUUCAAACUAAAAAUCCAUUAAAGCUCCUUUACUUGUUUAAGGGCACUUCCAAAAUCAUAUUUAAAGAAAAAUUACUUCUAGAGAGAAUUAUAACAUGCUAAUUGAGAGAUCCCGAAACUAGAAACUAGAUAGUUAUAAUGAAGCGUGACCUUAACUGCUUAAUUAAGUGAAAAAAGCCAUCAAAUUUGACAAAAAGUCUGAUGAAAGGUCAUAGCUGUAUCAUCUGUAGAUGAGAUAAUCAUGAAACAAUGUGGGGAAUCAACACAUCCUUAUCAUCGUCAAAAAAAAAAAUUCACUGUGCUGGAAGCACGUUCAAUUGAACGUUUUGGAAGUUUGUGGAUAGAAACCAAAUGGAAUAUGCUUGUAACCAAAAUUGCUGGCUGCUAUAUACAUCUUGGAUUUUAGCUGAGGUGGCCAUUGGCCAAGGACUUUGGUCUAAUCACGAUGCUUUAAUUUCGCAAUCCAAAAAAAAAAUUCAGAUAAAAUUUAGAACACGUUUUGGGAGUGCUUUCAAAUUACUGAAAGCGAUUUUAGAAAGAAAAAAAAUGUUUAUAUAACUAAUCUUUAAUAAAAAUGCAAGUUAAUCCUCCAAAAGUACUGAAACUAGUGCUUCUUUGAUAAAACACUUCAAGUGCUUUUGGAGCUCAAAAAUAUUAUCUCAAGUGGUUUCAGUCAUUUAAAAACACUUUCUAAACGAGUUAAUGACUCGUGUAUGGGGCAACAUUUAGCAAGUAACGGCUCUCAUGAAUUGGAUUGUGGUGAUGUGAAAAUGGGUUUGGGUAAGUUUAGUUUAGACCAGUCAGCAGUGUUUAAAAUAUCCACGACAUUAUCGAUAUUUUCGUUGAAAUAUCCUUAAAAUUAAGGGUCCAUAAGCAAAAGAAGGAUGAAAUGCAAACUUCACCCUAUAUCGGCAAGAUACAAGAAAACAAUGAAUAUAGACAAUAUGUAACAACUCGUCCCAAGAUUUACUGUAUAUAAAUGGUAUUUUUGUAUUUUCAUCAAGUUUGGGAAUUUAUCUUCCUUUUAAAAUUUGUUUUUGGUCUUAAAUGGUGAUCCAAGGGGACCCACUCCCCUGAUUUUGUCCCCGAGCCCUCUUCUCUCUUUCUUCCUCUCCUCUUCCCUUUCCCCUUUCCCGUAUACUUCUAUUCCUCUCUUCUCUAUGAUCACACUCACACCCAGCUGCACUCCCUGCUCGAGGAAGACGCAAUCACCAUCUAAACCACGUCCCUUUCCUCUUCCUCUUGCCUCUGUGCAACUCGGCGAAACCAAGAAAAUAACCUCCGGCAAGUCCGACGGCUUUCGAAGCCAUUUCCUGCCAAACCACGGCGCGUUGGCCGGCGUGCAAGGUAUCAAUCUCUUCGUCCCGUCAAGUACUAUAACUUUUCUUUUUGUUUCACUCAAUUUAAUUGAGUAUUGAAGAAGUUAUACUCAUUUGAAUCUUACCCAGUUUCCGGCGACCUCCGAGGCUUUCGAGGAAAUUUCAGGCCAAACCAUGGCGAGUCAGACGUGAGGUAUCAUUCUCUUCGUCUCUUCCAGGACUACAACUUUCGUUUUUGUCUCGCUUGAUUUCGUUGAGUAGUGACAAAGUUAUGGCUGUUUAAAGUGGGGUGGUUUUCCGGCCGAAUUUCCGGCCUUCUUCUUCCUUGGCAACAGGCCACCCGGCCUUUCCCUCUCCCUCGGACCUUAGGCCCGUGUUGUCUUAAGCCCAAAACCCUAGCCUUUAGUUUUAAGUUUUAUUAUUUGGUUUUAAAACCCUAAAAAGGGCCUUGGGCCGGUGGUUUUUAAAAAGGGCUUAAAGCCCUGUUUUUCUUUAUUUAUUUUUAUUAAGGCCUUAAGGCCUUGUGAUUUUGUGCCCGUGGGUGUGUGUGUUAGGUGUGUAUGUGUUUAUGCAUGCACAUGCAUGCCGUGUGUGUGUGUGUAUUUGUAGUAUGUGUGUGUUUGGGCUAAAGCCCAAACCCCAAUUCUCACCCUAAAACCAUUUUAACCCAAAAUCCUAGGUUCCUAAAAUCCUUUAAAACCCUAAACCCAUCCAAUCCCAAAUCCCCUAUUUUAUUUAAACCUAAACCCUAAUCCGGAUUUCAAGCCUAAAACCCAUUUGACCGUUGACCCCCGGUCAACGUUGAUUUUAGGGUUGACUUUUCGGGUUUUCGUCCGGGACCCUUCUUAGGGUAAUUCGACGUUCUAAAUCCGUUUCCAAUGUCCAUUUUCCCAAAUUCAAUUGUUAUUAUAUAGUUUUAUUUAUUGGACUCUUUAUGUGCUUAGGGGCAAUUAUUGUGACGUUUCCAUCUUCGCUAGUGGCACAGCUUUUGGCAACUAAGUAUUGUGAGUGGACCCCUUCUAGAAUUACAUGAUUUGAUAAUUUAAUUGCAUAAAUGAUUAGCAUGCCUACGAAUUUAUGAUUUGAUUUAUGUGAAGCCUGAUGAUUUAAUAUAUUGAUUAUCGUCUCGGGUUUUGGUGAGGAAUUAUUUGUUAGCCUAUAUUGAGCUAUAUUUUAAUAUAUCGUAUUUUCUAUUAAAACCAUGAACUGGUAGACUAUCUGAUAGAUGACGAUAGGAUGCUAGAACAUGUUUUUGAACCCCUCUUUAUAGUGUAGACGAUGAUCGGUAACCUAUGCUAUGAAGUGGUUUUUUUUAGAGAGACGUAACUAUUUGUGCGUACCUAGUAGACACUAUGCCGCCUGGGGCAAGGAACUGGUGUUGGCAUUUAGGCCGGGAGAAAUAAUCCCUAGCGAAAGGCUGAGGGACACGGAGACAGGCAGUGGGCCAAGAGGGAGUUAUCUCUGGCUACGGGCACAGAGACUGAGGUGCAAGCAUUGGGCCGGGAGUUAUAUUUAUUCAGUGAUCUUUCUAGCAGCACACUGCGUUUACGAGACGAUUUAUGAUGCGUUUACUGUUUUGAUUUCCGCGAUGUUUUUCCGCGUUAUGGCGUUUGAGAUAUUUUUGGCAUACUAGGAUUUUUAUUAAAUCCAUCACUUAUUAUGCUAGUAGUUUUCAUUUAUAUAAACUUUGGGGGUUAGUAUGUUGAUAAUUGUUUUAUUAUUAUUGUAUAUAUAAACUUGGUCCACUCACCUUUGUUUUGCGCCCCCAUUCAGGACUUAGAAUCAAGGCACCUAAUCCCGGCGUGAAGACACUUUCGCAGCAGCAUCUUCGGAUCCUCUCGAUGUAGGACUCACUCCUUUACUCAUUAAAUUUUAUCUUAAUUCUUUUUAGUGAUUAGAUUUAGUUGUAUGCUCUGAGCACGUUCCUAAAACUUUUAACUCUUAGUUUUUAAAUUCAUAACACUUACUUAUUUCUUAUUCUUAGCUUUUGUAUCAAUUAAUGGCUUUCGUCACCCUCGGGUGUCGGCCAGCAUGUGUCUUCCUGGUAUUCGGGGAAUAUCAGGGUCGGGGCGUGUCACAAUAUUUACGGAUUAAUUACAAAAUUUUGCUAAUACCUAUUGCAGAUUUCGAACUGUAGAAUUUUUUUUAUAAAUUUUUUCUUUAAUUUCAACUAAAUCUGAAUGAGUACUUACCCCAUUGUAAAUUUCCAUCGAAGACUUUCCAACUAUAUCGAUAUUUUAAACACUGGUUUAGACCAACAUGUUUAAUAUCCAGUGCAUGCAAAUAGAAUGUCAAAUCUUUUUGAAAAACUUCAGUAUGACUGCCACUUAAGGGCAACUAGCAUAUUAAAGAGACCAAUGCAAAGUUGGAUGAGACUAAAAUACAUAAAGUCUCAUGUUUUGGUGAGAUGUGGUUUACAAAUGAUAUAGCAUGUGCCCUACGAAAAACGAGAUCGGAUUACCUAAUUGAAGUUUCUCUAGCAUGAAAAAUUCAAGAGGGAUGUGACGGUUCCGGAAAGUAAAAAAUCACACAUUUUUAUUAAUAAUUUUUUUGUUCGAAUUCGGAAAUGUAUAGAACUGAACAAAUGGAAUAGUGGCUCAGUGAUACCAACAAUUUCAUGUUGCAAAUUACAAAAAAAAAAAAAAAAAAAAAAAAAAAAGGAAAUGUUUUACACAAAAUUAAUGACAAUUAGAGUUAAACAACAGAAACUUGCACUUUAAAUGGUUUUUUUCUGCUGCUUUUGGUAUGUAUAUGCUUUUUCCGCACCGCUGGCUACUGUAUUCUCGGUAAUUUUCAUCGUCAUCCCAGCUGCGUUGCGAGCAUGAACGUUUGAUUCCUGUCAUUGGGGUUUCACAUACUCUGUCAUCACAUGAACCUCCAUGAUCCUUCCUUUUAAACAGCUUUCGAAGUGGAUUUGACUUUGGUUUCAAUGGUUUCAGCUGUUUUGGGGCCCAAAUUCUCUGCAGAUCGGGCAUCCAUCUUGUGGAGUAAGCGAACCUCCGAGCCCUCUCUCUCCUCUCUUGAACUUCAAGUAACUUGCGAGCAUGGUCGUCCUUUUGUUUGAUCUCUUCAGCGCUCGGUCUUCCAAUAUCAGUUUUCAGCGGACGAAGAGACUCACCUACUGCUGGUAAUGAAUCCCAGAUUCUAUAACUUCCAUCCACUUCGACACUCUUCGGUUUUUCUUUACAGGAUCGAUUGCUAUCCUAACUGUUGAGUAAACUAUUAGGGAGUUCUUCCUCAUCAGCAAACAGCAACAAAUCCAUUUUCUUAUAGAUUUUGCGAACCACAUCUUCAAGUGUCUCACAGUACCUGAAAAAUUCCAAAUUCAAAGAUUAAUCUAUCUGCUUAAGUUAAUUUUCCAUCUCAAACAAAAAUUGAUUGCCCGCACAUGUACUUCCGGAAAACUAAUUCCAGGAACGGAUUAUUUAAGCAACAUCGUUUCUUCAAGGAUCAUACUGUAGACAUACACUAUUGGCACAUUGCAAAAGUUGUAUAAACAUAUUCCACACUCGUUCAGAAAAACAUGGGUACGAUGUGCGCAUAACUGGCCUAUAUCCUGUCAAUCUACACUGAUAAGGAAAGACACUUUAACUCAUCUAAGAUUAUAAAGACAACCACUUUCCUUAUUUAGCAUUGUUGCAAAGGUAAGUAGGACAUGAUUUGUUAGAUAGGUAGUAAUAUCCCACAUGAAAGUGGAACACAGUGGCACCGGAAAUGUGUAUUUGUUGAGACAUGAACGAUAGACUGAAUGCAGCGUGUGCUAUAUAGCCUUUCAGCGAAAGCCAUAAUGCCUCAGUAAAACAUCCAUUAUAUAAAGUAAAGAAUAAUUUCAAGGGUAGGGGUUUUCAACUGUGGUACAGAUUUAUUACCUGCUUUUUAUGAUCUUUUCAACAUAAUCAUACACUCCAGUCACCAAAGAAGCCCUCCAGAUGACAUCGAAUUUUCUCCAAAAAGGAGCAAAUCUGUUUUACAGACUUCUGUUUUGUAGAUUCAGCAAUACGUGCACCAACCUCUGAUUGUAGUAUCUCCAUCCGGAAAAAUAUCUGCAAUUCAUAUCGUGCACGAGCUGGCGCAAGGAGGCGGCGAAGCACGAAGCCCGGGGCGGCGAUGCCGGGUCGAGGCGAAAUGCGGGGAGGGAAUUGAGGGUUUGGGAGAGGGAAUUGAAAGUGGGGCCGGGGAGGUGGAAAGAGAGGGAGAGAGAAGUGGGGAGCUUGGAGGAGGAGAGCAGCGGAGAGAGGGAGGAGAAGAAGGGUCUGAAGGCGAAGAGAGAGGCGGAGAGAGGAGGGAAAGAGAGGAUGGUUUUGACGGCGGCGAGGAAGGCUGUGAGAAAUGGAGCUGGGUUUUGGAGGUGGAGGAGUGGGUUGAGGCCUAGGAGGAGGACGAUGCGCUGCGUUUUGCCGUAGUCGGCGAUUGGGUCGCCGGAGCUCCGUUCAGAUGCCAUCGCAUUUGCAGGAGGAGAAAGAGACGGACUUGGGUUGCAGAGAAGGGAGAUGCAAAUGUGGAAUUAAGGAACAGUAAACCGAAUACGCAGUCGUUUUAGUAGAAAAACGACGAUACGGUAGAUGCUUGAGCGGGAAACCAAAUUUUGGCUGUAAAGGAAAUGUUUUAGGCCCCGUUUGGGAUUGAGGUGAUUUUAAAAAAAGCCACUGUGAAAAAAAGCUGAGGGUCAUUUUUGUGUUUGGUAAACUGAAAAAAGGGCUUAUUUUGGAAGCUGCUGUGAAAAUAAGCUGAAAAUCAAAGGAAAAGCUGAAGCUGCUAUUUGCUGCUUUGAAAAAAAGCCAGUUUUUUCAAAGCACACAGAGCUACAAUGCUCCUUUAAUGAAAAGACACACUAUCAUCCUGAUUUUUUUUCCAAAAGCACUUUCACAAAAAAGUUUACCAAACACUCUACUGCUUUAUUUCACAGCCGCUUAUUCUCACAGCACAGCCGCUUAUUCUCACAGCAGCUUUUUUUCAAAGCACAGCAAUACCAAACCAGCCCUUAAUCUCAUGAAGGACCUGUUUGGACUGCAUCUAAAUUUGUUAAAAGCGCUUUUAGAGAACAAAAGAGCUUUUGACAUCAGUUGAAAAAAAAAAAAUAUUUAAAGUACUUCUUCACGUGAAAAAAACACAUGGUUUUUAAUGAAAAUUCCAACAUGAUUUGAAUGAAAGUGCUUUCAAAAAGUAUUAUGAAUAGAUAUGCUUUUUUAUAUGCUUCUAUGAAAAGUGCUUUUUGCAAACAAUGUCGGGCUCGUUUGUAAUUACUUUUAAAAUGGUUGAAAGUGUAUUUCGUAAAAAUAUUUUUAGAAACAAUAUUUAGUAAAAUGCAAGUGAAUCCUAAAAAAAACACUUCAAGAAUAGAACAACCAAAGGGGCGAAAACUGUAAACCUCAUAGCAACCGAAUUACAAUUCGAGAACAUACCCGUUACUGAAUCCCAAAUCGCUGGUUCCCAAGUGUAGUCAUGCACAAGCUCGUUUAGAACCAAUAUUUUCUCUAAGAACGAUUUCAAUCAUUUGAAAAACAUUUUUAAACGAACUGAUGUUUUUAGGAGAAACACAAUGAGGAGCAAAUGAUUCCUAGGCGAGAAGAAAAACUAGACAGAAUGUUAAAUAGCACAUUAUGUACCAAUUUUUCUUCAACAAAUUGGAACUACUGAGAAGUUUGGAAACUAAAAAGUAAAGAUUGAUUCUAAGGAUUCUAACCCUGAUGAUUGCUUAUACAGUCGAACUACUUGAAUAGACUGGACUACCGAAGAUAAACUCAUACAUAUACGAAUUAUUAAAAAGUGAAAGAGGCUCAUCUCAGUUUUUUUUUUUUUUUUUAGUUGAAAGAAAAAAAAGGUAAAACAUGGAGAAGAUCAUGAACAGUAAUGGGUUUUAGUAUAUAUAAAUAUAAUUUGUAACUGUAUCUGUCCAAAUAUGCCGUGCAAGUUCUAUUCAUUAGCAGGUACUUUGAUUGCCAUGCAGUAAGAGCAUACAACGGAGAUUGGCUUUGUAUCAAGGCGUACGUCCCAUACACCUCUUUUAUGGGUGAUGCUGUCCACACACUUCUUUUAAUUACCAGUCGUCAUAUAGAAUGAAUUCAAGAGGAUCAAAUGACUAAAAUUAACAGAGAAUAUGUAAAAGAUAAACCAGAGUGUAUGGAUAACACCACCCUAUCUUAUUAGGAUAAUAACAUCCGAUGUGUUUGAUAUAAUCUUUUAGGGACUAACCAAAACAUUGAGUUACAAAAGUCAAACACUUCCGAUGAUGGAAGAACUAUAUCCACUUCUAUCGUCACAAAACUUGGACAAUAACAUCACACCACCAUACUUUGACGACUUCUUUAUCACCGGCAGAAUUUCCGAAUUCAACAAAGCAGCCGGAACAUACCCACUCUUGGCCGCCUUAGGAGCCGCCAGCAACCCCAAAAACAUCUUCCCUGUCUAAUACAAUGAUGUCACUUGGCGUCUUAACAAGAUGGGAGACUUUGGAGGGACUUUAUUGAGUACUCCAGAGUACUCAGUACUCUCAUUUGUUUAAAAAUAUAAAAAUCAAAAUCUAACGAUUAAAACAUCUAGAGUAUCCAUAUAUAGUACUGCUCAAAACUUUUUGAGACAUUGGACGUGAUCCCUCCUAGAAAUUAUUAAGUUAUACAGUAGUACACUUCAGCCGUGAUACUUUCAUUCAAAGGCUAGCUUUAUACUAAUAUGUGAUACUUUCAUUCCAUAUUUGAGAGCCAUUGGAUAAGUAUAAAGCUAACCUUUACAAUAUGAGCUAGUUAGUUAGCCUUCACACACACAGUGCCUGCCUAUCAUGUAACCAUUGACAAUGAUACCCGACAAUUUAUUUGGAGAGAGGGUCCUCACUCAUUUAUUUGGACCUAUAACUUCAUUUCAUAAUAACUCCAUCACAUCAUUUUAUGUACCAUAGUUUAUUCAAUUUCAAAAAUUAGUACACGCAAUAACAUGUUUUAUCGUAAAAUAUACGAGGUUUUUUAGUAUAUUAGAAAUACGAGAUGAUGCACCACAUGUCAUUAUAUAAAUGAAGAGAAAUUUUUUUUUUUUUUAAAUGUGCCUCCACUUAUAUAAUGUAUUGUACCACCCAAAUUCUGAAUAAGUGAAAGAUCUCUCCAAAAAAUACAUAUGCAUGUUUUAUUCAAAAGGUAAGGAAUGAUGCGUCAUCAUCCCUAACACACUUUAUUAUAGUAGUAGCAUCAAUUGAGGCAGAGAAGUUAAUUAGAUGCUGUCCUUAAUGGAUGCACUAUAACCGUUGUCAUAGAACCUGCUCCAAAGCAUAACUCCUCCGUACUUGGGCGAAUUCUUAAUCGUUGGAAGAACUUGUGACUUGAGAGCGUCAGCAGGAAUAAAUCCGCCGCUUGGAGCGGCCUCAGGAGCUGCCGGUAACCCCAUGAACACCUGGGUGGCCGGAACCGAGGCCCAUUGGUUCCAACUGCUUAAAAGAGCGUCGGCAUUACCGUCUGCAUACUGGCAUGGGGGGUUGUUGUAGAACUGAACCCAAACGUAGUCAAAUAAACCGGUUUGGAUAGCGGCGUCCAG